GCUGUUACUGUGAGCAGUGAAGAGUGUAAAAUAUACUGGAGGACAAGCAGCACGUACUCACCGAAGGAAAGGAGGUGAGGGCAGGCCAGGGUCGGGAGCCGACAUUCCCAGAGGGGAGCAGAGGCCAGUGGCAAGAUGUUCCCUGAGCUGCUCAGUGUUGGCAGUGCAGGAGGCACAAUAAUGUCAGUCGGUGAGAUUUGCAGCUGAGGAUCUUUUACAUCCCGGGACCAGCAGGUGAUGUUCCCUGAGCUGCUCAGUGUUGGCAGUGCAGGGGGCACAAUAAUGUCAGUCGGUGAGAUUUGCAGCUGAGGAUCUUUAACAUCCCGGGACCAGCAGGUGGUUCACGUUUACCAUACAGAAUGAGACAAAGUGAAUCAAAACCAAAGGGCAAAAGACACAGAGAGGGCAAGACCCUCUCCUCGUUACAGAGCAUUUGCCACGUGUCAGAAACGGGCUCACUGUAAUGAUGAUUGACUGUUACUGAUUGAUUUAUUGAUUAUGUUUUCAGAAUGUAUGUACACCUGCAUUUUAUGUUCUGAAGCAGUUUUUGCUCAAAUUGUGUUUGGUCAAACUGAGCACAGAAGUCCAUCCUGACAACUCGAAUUCAUUGGCAGCAAUAAUGUGAAAUGUAGUUAUAGAAUUUGGUCAGUACAAAAAUAAGAAAAAGCAUAAUUUUCAAUGAUGAUUUCAUAAAUCAAAAUUAAAUAAUAAAAAUCUUUAAAACAGACCGAAAGGGUGUAGGCUGAAGCUACAGCUUAUUACACCUACCCCUCUUACUUAUACAAAACAUAUUUGGCGUCGAUCAUCACAUCAAAACAAAAACUUUCAUAAUCUUUUAAUACAAAAUUCAAUUCCAAGUAUUUAUUUACUUUACUGCCAUUCUUUAUAAAUCAUGUAUUUUACAUUUGUUCAUUAAAUUAUUUUCAAAUAA